rnacentral:lncRNA from 1 species
UGCAAAGAAAUAACCCAAGCAUACGUAUAAACUAGCAAAAUGGUCCUUAGUCCGCCCAGUCAAUUGGGCAGACUAUCAUAAACACAAAACUGGUCCAUUUGGCUUGAUUCCGAAGGUUCACUUAUUCAAUGUAAUAUUUUACGAUAUUGCCUGUAUGUAGUUACAUGGCGUCUCUAUGCAAGGCUUGCGAGUAUCCUCACUCAAUAUGAUCAAGUGGGGUGAACAAGGACAUACUUGCUUUGUAAUGAGCUUCAUCUUUUGUUGUAUGAUUGACAGUACAUAGAACCAUCGGUACCCUCGGUAGAGUAGCAUACAUGGCUAGAACUGCCAGAACGAAGUUCAUAUGAGGGG